CUGCUCGAAUCAACGCUGGCGGCGUGCCUAACACAUGCAAGUCGAACGAGAAAGGGACUUCGGUCCUGAGUAAAGUGGCGCACGGGUGAGUAACACGUGACUAACCUACCCUUGAGUGGGGAAUAACUAGGAGAAAUCUUAGCUAAUACCGCAUAAUACCUACGGGUCAAAGGAGCAAUUCGCUUAAGGAGGGGGUCGCGGCAGAUUAGUUAGUUGGCGGGGUAAUGGCCCACCAAGACAGUGAUCUGUAUCCGGCCUGAGAGGGCGCACGGACACACUGGAACUGAAACACGGUCCAGACUCCUACGGGAGGCAGCAGUGGGGAAUUUUGCGCAAUGGGGGAAACCCUGACGCAGCAACGCCGCGUGGAGGAUGAAGUCCCUUGGGACGUAAACUCCUUUCGAUCGGGACGAUAAUGACGGUACCGAGAGAAGAAGCCCCGGCUAACUUCGUGCCAGCAGCCGCGGUAAUACGAGGGGGGCGAGCGUUGUUCGGAAUUAUUGGGCGUAAAGGGUGCGUAGGCGGUUCGGUAAGUCUUGUGUGAAAUCUUCGGGCUCAACUCGAAGUCUGCACCAGAAACUGCCGGGCUUGAGUAUGGGAGAGGUGAGUGGAAUUUCCGGUGUAGCGGUGAAAUGCGUAGAUAUCGGAAGGAACACCUGUGGCGAAAGCGGCUCACUGGACCAUAACUGACGCUGAUGCACGAAAGCUAGGGGAGCAAACAGGAUUAGAUACCCUGGUAGUCCUAGCCCUAAACGAUGAUCGCUUGGUGUGACGGGUACCCAAUCCCGCCGUGCCGAAGCUAACGCGUAAGCGAUCCGUCA
rnacentral:rRNA from 1 species